rnacentral:rRNA from 1 species
GCAGCAGCCGCGGUAAUACGGAGGGUGCAAGCGUUAAUCGGAAUUACUGGGCGUAAAGCGCACGCAGGCGGUUUGUUAAGUCAGAUGUGAAAUCCCCGGGCUCAACCUGGGAACUGCAUUUGAAACUGGCAAGCUAGAGUCUCGUAGAGGGGGGUAGAAUUCCAGGUGUAGCGGUGAAAUGCGUAGAGAUCUGGAGGAAUACCGGUGGCGAAGGCGGCCCCCUGGACGAAGACUGACGCUCAGGUGCGAAAGCGUGGGGAGCAAACAGGAUUAGAGACCCCAGUAGUCCCUGUCUCUUAUAA